GGGACCUGGCAGCUUGGAGACCCAGGGUGGAGUGGGUGUCUGCACGGUCUCCUAAGUCCCCUGACCAGUGACAGGCCCCCGGCCCUGCCCAGAGCUGCGGAGAAGAAAGCCAAGGUGACCAGACUUCUACUGAGAACCCUGGAAUCCUCCUGGAAUCACUCAGACUGUCCAUGCUGGCUGGAAACAGAUCCUCUAACAUGGGCGUUGGCAGAUGAACAGCUGCUGGAUGCAGUCCUAGUGCCCAAGAUGACCACGUGCCAGGCUGGUCCCGGGUGCUGGGGGCAUACCCUCUCAUUUGCUCCUUACAACAUCCUGGGCAGACUCUACCAUCAUUUCCCCUCAUGCACUCAGGGCCCAUAGGUCACUGGCCCCGGGUCGCACAAGAGAGAUGUGAUAGCCAGGAUCUGGAGCCAGGCCCAGGCUGCUUGCAUCAGGCUGCUGUGUCGUAAAGAAAGAUGAGGCUGUCCUGAAGGUGGCUGUGGGUCAG
rnacentral:lncRNA from 1 species